CCGGCGACCGGCGGACGGGUGCGUAACGCGUAUGUAACCUACCUUUGACAGGGGGAUAACAUCGAGAAAUUGGUACUAAUACCCCAUAACAUCACCGGAGGCAUCUUCGGUGGUUGAAAACUCAGGUGGUCAGAGAUGGACAUGCGUUGUAUUAGCUAGUUGGUGAGGUAACGGCUCACCAAGGCGACGAUACAUAGGGGGACUGAGAGGUCAACCCCCCACAUUGGAACUGAGACACGGUCCAAACUCCUACGGAAGGCAGCAG
rnacentral:rRNA from 1 species